UGGGGAAUAUUGGACAAUGGGCGAAAGCCUGAUCCAGCCAUGCCGCGUGUGUGAAGAAGGUCUUCGGAUUGUAAAGCACUUUAAGUUGGGAGGAAGGGCAUUAACCUAAUACGUUAGUGUUUUGACGUUACCGACAGAAUAAGCACCGGCUAACUCUGUGCCAGCAGCCGCGGUAAUACAGAGGGUGCAAGCGUUAAUCGGAAUUGCUGGGCGUAAAGCGCGCGUAGGUGGUUUGUUAAGUUGGAUGUGAAAUCCCCGGGCUCAACCUGGGAACUGCAUUCAAAACUGACUGACUAGAGUAUGGUAGAGGGUGGUGGAAUUUCCUGUGUAGCGGUGAAAUGCGUAGAUAUAGGAAGGAACACCAGUGGCGAAGGCGACCACCUGGACUAAUACUGACACUGAGGUGCGAAAGCGUGGGGAGCAAACA
rnacentral:rRNA from 1 species